rnacentral:rRNA from 1 species
UACGUAUGGGGCAAGCGUUAUCCGGAUUUACUGGGUGUAAAGGGAGCGUAGGCGGCGGGGCAAGCCUGAUGUGAAAGCCCGGGGCUCAACCCCGGGACUGCAUUGGGAACUGCCCUGCUGGAGUGCCGGAGGGGCAGGCGGGAUUCCUAGUGUAGCGGUGAAAUGCGUAGAUAUUAGGAGGAACACCAGUGGCGAAGGCGGCCUGCUGGACGACAACUGACGGUGAGGCGCGAAAGCGUGGGGAGCAAACAGG